CACGGGGGGAACGCGAAGAACCUUACCUGGGCUUGACAUGUCUCUGACCGGUGUGGAAACACAUCUUCCCUUCGGGGCAGAGUCACAGGUGGUGCAUGGCUGUCGUCAGCUCGUGUCGUGAGAUGUUGGGUUAAGUCCCGCAACGAGCGCAACCCCCGUUGUAUGUUGCCAGCAUUUAGUUGGGGACUCAUACAAGACUGCCGGUGACAAACCGGAGGAAGGUGGGGAUGACGUCAAGUCAUCAUGCCCCUUAUGUCCAGGGCUACACACGUGCUACAUUGGCCGGUACAAAGGGUUGCGAUACCGCGAGGUGGAGCGAAUCCCUCAAAGCGCGUCUCGGUUCGGAUUGCAGGCUGAAACUCGCCUGCAUGAAGGCGGAGUUGCUAGUAAUCGCGGAUCAGCAUUGCCGCGGUGAAUACGUUCCCGGGUCUUGUACACACGC
rnacentral:rRNA from 1 species